rnacentral:rRNA from 1 species
GAUGAACGCUAGCGAUAGGCUUAACACAUGCAAGUCGAUGAUGGGAAGCUAAGCCUAGCUUAGAAGAAGUCAUGGCGGACGGGUGAGUAACGUGUAAAGAACUUGCCCUCUAGACUGGGAUAACAGAUAGAAAUGUCUGAUAAUACCGGAUAUUAUUGUUACAUGGCAUCAUGUAGGAAUGAAAGGAUAAGAUUGCUAGAGGAGAGCUUUGCAUCCUAUUAGCUAGUUGGUAAGGUAGCGGCUUACCAAGGCGAUGAUAGGUAGCCGGCCUGAGAGGGUGGACGGCCACAAGGGGACUGAGAUACGGCCCUU